CCUGGCCUUGACAUACUAAGAACUUUCCAGAGAUGGAUUGGUGCCUUCGGGAACUUAGAUACAGGUGCUGCAUGGCUGUCGUCAGCUCGUGUCGUGAGAUGUUGGGUUAAGUCCCGCAACGAGCGCAACCCUUUUCCUUAUUUGCCAGCGGGUUAAGCCGGGAACUUUAAGGAUACUGCCAGUGACAAACUGGAGGAAGGCGGGGACGACGUCAAGUCAUCAUGGCCCUUACGGCCAGGGCUACACACGUGCUACAAUGGUCGGUACAAAGGGUUGCUACCUCGCGAGAGGAUGCUAAUCUCAAAAAGCCGAUCGUAGUCCGGAUCGCAGUCUGCAACUCGACUGCGUGAAGUCGGAAUCGCUAGUAAUCGCGGAUCAGAAUGCCGCGGUGAAUACGUUCCCGGGCCUUGUACACACCGCCCGUCACACCAUGGGAGUUUGUUGCACCAGAAGUAGGUAGUCUAACCGCAAGGAGGACGCUUACCACGGUGUGGCCGAUGACUGGGGUGAAGUCGUAACAAGGUAGGCGUAGAUGA
rnacentral:rRNA from 1 species